UCCCUGGUGGCUCAGAGGUUAAAGCGUCUGCCUGCAAAGCAGGAGACGCAGGUUCGACCCCUGGGUCGGGAA
rnacentral:tRNA from 1 species